rnacentral:rRNA from 1 species
UCGGCUUAGAGUUUGGUCCUGGCUCAGGACGAACGCUGGCGGCGUGCCUAAUACAUGCAAGUCGAACGCAGGAAAGCUUGCUUUCUUGAGUGGCGGACGGGUGAGUAACACGUGGGUAACCUGCCCAUUAGAGGGGGAUAACACUUGGAAACAGGUGCUAAUACCGCAUAAUUCUUUACCGCAUGGCAGAAGAUGAAAGACGUUCGUGUCACUAAUGGAUGGACCCGCGCAGCAUUAGUUAGUUGGUGAGGUAAUGGCUCACCAAGACCGUGAUGCUUAGCCGACCUGAGAGGGUGAUCGGCCACACUGGGACUGAGACACGGCCCAGACUCCUACGGGAGGCAGCAGUAGGGAAUCUUCGGCAAUGGACGAAAGUCUGACCGAGCAACGCCGCGUGAGUGAAGAAGGUUUUCGGAUCGUAAAACUCUGUUGUUAGAGAAGAACAAGUGGGAGGUAACUCCCGCCUUGACGGUAUCUAACCAGAAAGCCACGGCUAACUACGUGCCAGCAGCCGCGGUAAUACGUAGGUGGCAAGCGUUGUCCGGAUUUAUUGGGCGUAAAGCGAGCGCAGUGGUUUCUUAAGUCUGAUGUGAAAGCCCCCGGCUCAACCGGGGAGGGUCAUUGGAAACUGGGAGACUUGAGUGCAGAAGAGGAGAGUGGAAUUCCAUGUGUAGCGGUGAAAUGCGUAGAUAUAUGGAGGAACACCAGUGGCGAAA